UACGAAGGGGGCUAGCGUUACUCGGAUUGACUGGGCGUAAAGGGCGCGUAGGCGGUUUGUACAGUCAGACGUGAAAUUCCUGGGCUCAACCUGGGGGCUGCGUUUGAUACGUGCAGACUCGAGUUCGGAAGAGGGUCGUGGAAUUCCCAGUGUAGAGGUGAAAUUCGUAGAUAUUGGGAAGAACACCGGUGGCGAAGGCGGCGACCUGGUCCGAUACUGACGCUGAGGCGCGAAAGCGUGGGGAGCAAACAGG
rnacentral:rRNA from 1 species